AGAAUUUAUCAGCCAAAGAAUGGAGUCAGGAGGGCCACAGGGAAGGCACAAGCUAUCAAGCCAUGUUAGCUUGUGGGCUCCUCCUGAGGCCUCCAGCUUUCUUCCGAUGCUCGUUGAUCUUCUUUUGGUCCUGAAAAAAUCAUCAAUUUUUUAGAGCAAUUGGACCUCGUUUGGUAUGGAAAACCUGCAAAGUGAAAAACAC
rnacentral:lncRNA from 1 species